UACGGAGGGUGCAAGCGUUAUCCGGAUUCACUGGGUUUAAAGGGUGCGUAGGUGGGCCUGGUAAGUCAGCGGUGAAAUCUCCGGGCUUAACCCGGAAACUGCCAUUGAUACUAUAGGUCUUGAAUUAUCUGGAGGUAAGCGGAAUAUGUCAUGUAGCGGUGAAAUGCUUAGAUAUGACAUAGAACACCAAUUGCGAAGGCAGCUUACUACGGAU
rnacentral:rRNA from 1 species